rnacentral:rRNA from 1 species
UACGGAAGGCAGCAGUGGGGAAUAUUGCACAAUGGGCGCAAGCCUGAUGCAGCCAUGCCGCGUGUAUGAAGAAGGCCUUCGGGUUGUAAAGUACUUUUCAGCGGGGAGGAAGGCGGUGAAGUUAAUAGCUUCACCGAUUGACGUUACCCGCAGAAGAAGCACCGGCUAACUCCGUGCCAGCAGCCGCGGUAAUACGGAGGGUGCAAGCGUUAAUCGGAAUUACUGGGCGUAAAGCGCACGCAAGGCGGUCUGUCAAGUCGGAUGUGAAAUCCCCCGGGCUUAACCUGGGAACUGCAUUCGAAACUGGCAGGCUAGAGUCUUGUAGAGGGGGUAGAAUUCCAGGUGUAGCGGUGAAAUGCGUAGAGAUCUGGAGGAAUACCGGUGGCGAAGGCGGCCCCUGGACAAGACUGACGCUCAGGGUGCGAAAGCGUGGGGAGCGAAACAGGAUUAGGAUACC